rnacentral:rRNA from 1 species
AGAAUCAACGCUGGCGGCGUGCCUAACACAUGCAAGUCGAACGAGAAAGUGGAGCAAUCCAUUAGUAAAGUGGCGCACGGGUGAGUAACACGUGACUAACCUACCCUUGAGUGGGGGAUAACCUAGGGAAACCUGGGCUAAUACCGCAUAAUACCUUCGGGUCAAAGGAGCAAUUCGCUUAAGGAGGGGUCGCGGCCGAUUAGCUAGUUGGCGGGUAAUGGCCCACCAAGGCGAUGAUCGGUAU